GUGAGUCCACUUGUUUUCCUCAUUUUUAAUUACAAACAAGCUGCCUCAUGUGUUUUCUUUUUCUGCUACCAGAACGUACUGUCAAUGAGCUUUGUUUUGGUCCAAAUAUUGAUGCAGCAAGUGUUCGUCAGCAAGUCUGAGCCCUGGUUCCAGCAGCGUGUUGAGGGAUUCCAACACUUUGGGCCAAUAGUCAGACUUCGUUAUGACUUCCUGCUCCUCUCCAAAGGCCUGGUGGGGCACGUAGGAUGUAGUGGAAAGAACACAGAGUGCAGAGACUGAAGAUCCAAGUUGCAGACCUCCCACUUGCUUUUUAUUUGACCUCAUGCAAGUUCCUUGAGGUCUCUGAACCUUGCUUUCUUCAUCCAUAGAUUGGGAAACUAAGGCCCAGAGAAGAAAAAGGAAGUGGUCAAGGUCAUUCAGCUAAAGGACAAGAGGUGAAUUUUCAAAGCAUUGUAACCCUGAGGCUGCUCGGUUCAGGGUACAGGGUCAACAGACAAGGAACACUCCUGUGUUUCUGUUCUCAAAGCCACGGGUGAUUCUCUCACCUCAGCUAAGUAGUCCUGACACAUUUUGGACCAAUUUGUUUCUCUUUCUACAAAUAUUUUGUAAUUCCUUCUCCCUUUUUAACUUUUUUCUAAUAAAAUUGUUGUUAUGUAUAAAAGAAUGUGUGUAGCACACAAAGAAAUAAAGUGUAAAAAUAAAAUAAACACAAAUGAUCCACCCCUUAAUUUAAAAAAAUAGGAACUACACAUGUGUGCUUCCUUGACCCCACUCCCUACCUCCCUGCCAGGAGGUAUCCACUCUCUUAAAUUUUGCUUUCUUCAUUCCCUUAGUUUCUCUUUCAAGCUUUAAUACAUGCAUACAUAUCUUUAGACAUUGCAUUUUUUUGUUUCACUCAUUUUUAGAUGUUAUACAAAUGCAAUCAUGAAGCUUGCAUUCUUUUGUAGUUUCAUUUUUCACUUAAAAUUAUAUUUCAAAGAUUUCCAAAGUUGUAGCUCAUUCAUCUAUAAUAGUAUUUCAUUGUGUAAAUAUUCCAUAAUUUAUGUAUCCAUUCUACUGUUGAUCAAUAUGUGAAUGGUUUCCAGGGUUUUUUAAUUGUUAAGAAUUUUGCUAUGUUUUUUUUAAUAUUUCCUGGCACCCAUGUGCAACAGUUUCUCUAGAGCAGUGGUUCUUCAUCAGAGCAAUUUUCCCUCUUCAGGGACAUUUGACAAUACCCAGACACAUUUUUGAUCAUCACAACCAGAGGGACCCCUGGAGAGAAAUGGGGACAAAGGGCUUCCUCUGGCUAGAAGCUAGCGGCCAAGGAUGCCGUUAACCAGCCAAGAACAGCCCUGCACAACAAAGAAUGAUCUGGAUCAAAAUGUCAGCAGUGCGGAGUCUGAGAAACCCAGCUCUGGAGGAUACACAUGGGUUGAAAUUUCUGAGUUAUAAGUGUGCCAACUUCAAAUUUACAAGAUAGUAUCACAUUGCUUGCCAAAAUGUACCAAUUUCUACACCAACAAGGAGUAUGUAAAUCUCAUCGCUCCAUAUUUUAUCCAACACUUGGUACUGUUAGCUUUUAAAAAUAUAUAUAUUGGCCAAUCUAGUUGGAAUAAAAUGGGUGGAAUAUAGUAUCUACUACUAAUGAGAUGAGCAUCUUUUAUAUGACUGUUGGCUAUUUAUGUUUCCUCUUCUGUGAUUUGCCUGUUCAUGUAAUUUUCCCAUUUCUCUUUUAACUAUGUUUGUUUGCAUUGUUUGUAUAGAUUUCUGGAUUUUUAAAAAUAUUUUGUAUAUUAAUCACAAUUAAUUAAUUAUAUCACAAAUAUCUUCUCCCAAUUUGAGGAAUUUGAGGUUCAUCUUUUUUUAAUUGUGCCUUUUGAGAACAGAAAUUAAUUCUAAUUUUGAUGUGGUUGAAUUUAUCUAUUUUACAUCAAGUACUUUAUGAGUCUCAUUUAAUAAAUCAUUUCCUAC
rnacentral:lncRNA from 10 species